GAUGAACGCUGGCGGCGUGCUUAACACAUGCAAGUCGAGCGAGUGAGUUCUUCGGAACGAUCUAGCGGCGGACGGGUGAGUAACACGUGGGCAACCUGCCUCAUAGAGGGGAAUAGCCUCCCGAAAGGGAGAUUAAUACCGCAUAAAAUUAUCGAGUGGCAUCACAUGAUAAUCAAAGGAGUAAUCCGCUAUGAGAUGGGCCGGCGGCGCAUUAGCUAGUUGGUGAGGUAACGGCACACCAAGGCGACGAUGCGUAGCCGACCUGAGAGGGUGAUCGGCCACAUUGGGACUGAGACACGGCCCAGACUCCUACGGGAGGCAGCAGUGGGGAAUAUUGCACAAUGGGGGAAACCCUGAUGCAGCAACGCCGCGUGAGUGAUGAAGGUCUUCGGAUUGUAAAGCUCUGUCUUUGGGGACGAUAAUGACGGUACCCAAGGAGGAAGCCACGGCUAACUACGUGCCAGCAGCCGCGGUAA
rnacentral:rRNA from 1 species